CUGUUUUUGCCUGAGUUUCCUGAACGCACACUGUCUGGUUGCCUGGCGACGAAGCAAGGCGGGAGAUCCCUCAACUACCCACACCUGCAUCUCAUCAGCUAUCUGCACACCCGGUCCUGAUCAUCACCUCUUCACCAUAAAAGCUGUGACCUGACAUCCAUUCCCUGCCGGAUCGUUAGCCAUACCAGUUUCGCCCUGGAAAUU